GAUGAACGCUGGCGGCGUGCCUAAUACAUGCAAGUCGAGCGAACAGACGAGGAGCUUGCUCCUCUGACGUUAGCGGCGGACGGGUGAGUAACACGUGGAUAACCUACCUAUAAGACUGGGAUAACUUCGGGAAACCGGAGCUAAUACCGGAUAAUAUAUUGAACCGCAUGGUUCAAUAGUGAAAGACGGUUUUGCUGUCACUUAUAGAUGGAUCCGCGCCGCAUUAGCUAGUUGGUAAGGUAACGGCUUACCAAGGCAACGAUGCGUAGCCGACCUGAGAGGGUGAUCGGCCACACUGGAACUGAGACACGGUCCAGACUCCUACGGGAGGCAGCAGUAGGGAAUCUUCCGCAAUGGGCGAAAGCCUGACGGAGCAACGCCGCGUGAAUGAUGAAGGUCUUCGGAUCGUAAAACUCUGUUAUUAGGGAAGAACAAAUGUGUAAGUAACUAUGCACGUCUUGACGGUACCUAAUCAGAAAGCCACGGCUGACUACGUG
rnacentral:rRNA from 1 species